GACGGGUCGUUCGACGUUACGCGCGACUGGAACUAUGGUUCGCUGGUUUAUACGCAAAUGUGAGUCAAGAAGCAGGGGCAUUUUAAUAGAUAUUAGAACGAGAAGGAGAGGUGCAGUGUGAACGCACAGUGAAACAAUUGAUAGGAGGGGGAGGGAAGGAGAAUGAGUGUAUGUAUUUUCAGCACGAAAUGAAACAGGUGCGAUCAUACCAGCACCAAUGCUUCGGAUUCUAUCAGAACUCCGUAGGUAAUGGUGCUUGGGCGAGAGUAGUACUAGCAUGGGUUACCUCCUGCGAAGUCAUUAUAUUUCACCCAUUUUCUUGUGAAGUCCUUGUGUUGCACCCAUUUUUUUGCAGAUGAUUCUUUCGACAUUACGCGCGACUUGAAUUAUGGUCCUCAGGUUUAUUCGCAAAUGUGAGUCACGACGCCGUGGCAUUUUACUUGAUAUUUGAAUGAGAACGUAAGGUGCAUUGCGCACGUACAAGGAAACAAAUGACGGGAGGGGGAAGAAAGGAGAAGGAUUUUAUGUAUUUGCAGCGUGAAAUUAAACAGGUGCGAUCAUACCAGCACGAAUGCACCAGAUUCCAUUAAAACUCCGCAGUUAAGUGUGCUUGGGCGAGAUUAGUACUCGAAUGGGUGACCUCCUGGGAAGUCCUCGUGUCGCACUAAUUCUUUUUUUCAAACGGGUCGUUCGACGUUACGCGCGACUGGAACUAGGGUCCACUGGUUUAUACGCAAAUAUGAGUCAGGAAGCAGGGGCAUUUUAAUCGAUAUUAGAACGAGAAGGAGAGAUUCAGAGUGCACGCACAUGGAAACAAAUGACGGGAGGGGGGAUGGAGGGAGAAAAAGUGUAUGCAGCGCAGAAUGAAACAUGAGCAAUCAUACCAGCUCCAAUGCAACGGAUUCUAUCAGAACUCCGCAAGUUAAGGGUGCUUGGGCGAGAGUUGCACUAGGAUGGGUGACCUCCUGCGAAGUCCUUAUAUUUCACCCAUUUUCUUAGGAAGUCCUCGUGUUGCACCCAUUUUUUUGUAGAUAAUUCUUUCGACGAUACGCGCGAGUUGAAUUAUGGUCCUCAGGUUUAUUCGCAAAUGUGAGUCACGGCACCGUAGCAUUUUACUUGAUAUUAGAUCGAGCACGGGAAGUGCAGUGUGCACGCACAAGGAAACAAAUGACGAGAGGGGGAAGAAAGGAGAAGGAGUUUAUGUAUUUGCAGCGCGAAAUUAAACGGGUGCGAUCAUAUCAGCACUAAUGCACCGGAUCCCAUCAAAAGUUCGCAGUUAAGUGUGCUUGGGCGAGAGUAGUACUCGGAUGGGUGACCUCCUGGGAAGUCCUCGUGUCGCACCAAUUUUUUUUCAGACGGGUCGUUCGACGUUACGCGCGACUGGAACUUGGGUCCGCUGGUUUAUACGCAAAUGUGAGUCAAGAAGCAGGGGCAUUUUAAUCGAUAUUAGAACAAGAAGUAGAGGUGUAGUGUGAACGCACAAGGAAACAAUUGAUGGGAGGGGGAGGGAAGGAGAAGGAGUGUAUGUAUUUUCAGCACGAAAUGAAACAAGUGCGAUCAUACCAGCACUAAUGCAACGGAUUCUAUCAGAGCUCCGUAGGUAAGGGUGCUUGGGCGAAAGUAGUACUAGCAAGGGUUACCUCCUGCGAAGUCCUUAUAUUGCACCCAUUUUAUUGUGAAGUCCUCGUGUUGCACCCAUUUUUUUGCAGAUGAUUCUUUCGACGUUACGCGCGACUUGAAUUAUGGUCCUCAGGUUUAUUCGCAAAUUUGAGUCACGGCACCGUAGUAUUUUACUUGACAAAAAAACGAGCACGGGAGGUGCAGUGCGCACGCACAAGGAAACAAAGGACGGGAGGGAGAAGAAAGGAGAAGGAGUUUAUGUAUUUGCAGCGCAAAAUUAAACGGGUGCGAUCAUACCAGCACUAAUGCUCCGUAUCCGAUCAGAACUCCGCAGUUAAGUGUGCUUGGGCGAGAGUAGUACUCGGAUGGGUGACCUCCUGGGAAGUUCUUGUGUUGCACCAAUUUUUUUUCAGACGGGUCGUACGACGUUACGCGCGACUGGAACUAUGGUCCGCUGGUUUAUACGCAAAUGUGAGUCAAGAAUCAGGGGUAUUUUAAUCGAUAUUAGAACGAGAAGGAGAGGUGCAGUGUGAACUCACAAGGAAACAAAUGAUGAGAGGGGGGGAGGGAAGAAGGAGUGUCUGUAUUUUCAGCACGAAAUGAAACAGGUGCGAUCAUACCAGCACUAAUGCAUCGGAUUCUAUUAGAACUCCGUAGGUAAGGGUGCUUGGGCGAGAGUAGUACUAGCAUGGGUUACCUCCUGCGAAGUCCUUAUAUUUCACCCAUUUUCUUGUGAAGUCCUCGUGUUGCACCCAUCUUUUUGUAGAUGAUUCUUUCGACGUUACGCGCAACUUGAUUUAUGGUUCGCAGGUUUAUUCGCAAAUGUGAGUCACGGCGUCGUGGCAUUUUACUUGAUAUUAGAACGAGUACGGGAGGUGCAGUGCGCACGCACAAGGAAACAAAUGACGGGAUGAGGAAGAAAAGAGAAGGAGUGUAUGUAUUUGCAGCGCGAAAUUAAACAGGUGCGAUUAUACCAGCACUAAUGCACUGGAUCCCAUCAGAACUCUGCAAUUAAGCGUGCUUGGGAGAGGAUAGUUCUCAGAUGGGUUACCUCUUGGGAAGUCCCCGUAUCGCAACAAUUUUUUUUUAGAUGGGUCGCUCGACGUUACGCGCGACUGGAACUAUGGUCCGCUUGUUUAUACGCAAAUGUGAGUCAAGAAUCUGGGGCAUUUUAAUCGAUAUUAGAACGAGAAUGAGAGGUACAGUGUGAACGCACAAGGAAACAAAUGAUGGGAGGGGGGGAGGGAAGAAGGAGUCUAUGUAUUUUCAGCACGAAAUUAAACAGGUGCGGUCACACCAGCACAAAUGCACCGGAUCCCAUCAGAACUACGCAGUUAAGUGUGCUUUGGCGUAGGUAGUACAAUGAUGGGUUACCUCCUGGAAAGUUCUCGUGUUGCACCCAUUUUCUUUUUUUCAGAUGUGCCGUUCGACGUUACGCGCGACUUUAAUUAUGGUCCGCAGAUUUAUUCGCUAAUGUGAGUCACGGCGCCCUGGCAUUUUACUUGAUAUUUGAACGAGAACGAGAGGUGCAGUGCGCACGCACAAGGAAACAAAUGACGGGAGGGGGAACAAAGCAGAAGGAGUUUAUCCAUUUGCAGCGCGAAAUUAAACAAUUGUGAUCAUACCAGCACUAAUGCACCGGAUCCCAUUAGAACUCCGUAGUUAAGCGUGCUUGUGCGAGAUUAGUACUCGGAUGGGUGACCUCCUGGGAAGUCCUCGUGUCGCACUAAUUUUUUUUUCAGACGGGUCGUACGACGUUGCGCGUGACUGGAACUAGAGUCCACUGGUUUAUAUGCAAAUGUGAGUCAAGAAGCAGGUUUAUACGCAAAUGUGAGUCAAGAAGCAGAGACAUUUUAAUCGAUAUUAGAACGAGAAGGAGAGGUGCAGUGUGAACGCACAAGGAAACAAUUGAUGGGAGGGGGAGGGAAGGAGAAUGAGUGUAUGUAUUUUCAGCGCGAAAUGAAACAGGUGCGAUCAUACCACACUAAUGCAAUGGAUUCUAUCAGAACUCCGUAGGUAAAGGUGCU
rnacentral:lncRNA from 1 species